UAUUCUGUGUGUCAGGGCUGGUAGCGU
rnacentral:piRNA from 1 species